rnacentral:rRNA from 1 species
GAUGAACGCUGGCGGCGUGCUUAACACAUGCAAGUCGAACGAUGAAGCCCAGCUUGCUGGGUGGAUUAGUGGCGAACGGGUGAGUAACACGUGAGUAACCUGCCCUUAACUCUGGGAUAAGCCUGGGAAACUGGGUCUAAUACCGGAUAGGAGCGCCUACCGCAUGGUGGGUGUUGGAAAGAUUUAUCGGUUUUGGAUGGACUCGCGGCCUAUCAGCUUGUUGGUGAGGUAAUGGCUCACCAAGGCGACGACGGGUAGCCGGCCUGAGAGGGUGACCGGCCACACUGGGACUGAGACACGGCCCAGACUCCUACGGGAGGCAGCAGUGGGGAAUAUUGCACAAUGGGCGAAAGCCUGAUGCAGCGACGCCGCGUGAGGGAUGACGGCCUUCGGGUUGUAAACCUCUUUCAGUAGGGAAGAAGCGAAAGUGACGGUACCUGCAGAAGAAGCACCGGCUAACUACGU